UACGUAGGGUGCAAGCGUUGUCCGGAAUUAUUGGGCGUAAAGAGCUCGUAGGCGGUCUGUCGCGUCGGCUGUGAAAACCCGGGAGCUCAACUCCGGGCCUGCAGUCGAUACGGGCAGACUGGAGUUCGGCAGGGGAGACUGGAAUUCCUGGUGUAGCGGUGAAAUGCGCAGAUAUCAGGAGGAACACCGGUGGCGAAGGCGGGGUCUCUGGGCCGAUACUGACGCUGAGGAGCGAAAGCCGUGGGGGAGCGAACAGG
rnacentral:rRNA from 1 species